CAGAAAAUAAUUUAAUUAUAUAAAAUAUAAACUUUGGAAGUUUAAAUUGAUUUAUAUCUUUUCUGA
rnacentral:tRNA from 1 species